GCCAUCUGUCGUUGGGCCGGGAAAAUCGAGCCUGCCUCAUUGUUCCCGGAAAGGCCGCAGCCAAGUCACAAGAGAAGUGUACGUGUUCAAGCUACACACCAUGGCCGAGCCGAGCGACACGACUUUAACUUUCUUCACGAAGGCGACGCCGAGUCAGUGGAGUUACGUGCUGUCCCUGUACAAAGAAGUGCUCAAACAGAAAGCCGCACUGCGCACCAAGAAGGGAGGCCCCGAGGAACUCAUCAAGCUCGACGCCUGGUACCAGGAGCAGCUUCCCAAGACCAUACAGGCACGCAAAGACAAGCAUCUCGUUCAUGAAGAGCUUGUUAAAAUAAUGAAGUGGAAACUAAUGAGGGGCAAGUAUCGGCCGCAACUGUUGGACCUGGUGCGCAUCAACACAGAGCUGGCCGUGAAGUCGACGAGCAAGAAGGCGUUCCGCAAGCUGCCCAACCUGUCGGGCGCCAUCACAGCGCUGACCAACCUGAAGGGCAUCGGACCGGCCACGGCAUCAGCCAUCCUGGCUGCGGCUUUCCCUGAGCAAGCACCCUACAUGGCUGACGAGAGCAUGCUGAGCACGCCGGGCGUCGAGGCCACAGAUUACACCCUGGCCGAGUACCUCAACUACGCUGAGCGCAUCAAGACCUGCACCGAGCAGCUUGCACAGAAAGACCCCAACAGCACGUGGACACCGCACAAGGUAGAGCUGGUUCUCUGGGCACACUACGUGGCACGGGAGUUGAAGCCGUCACUCCUAGACGACCUUUCCAAGUACAAGGACUCCGUGCCAUCCGCCAAUGGCAACGGACCCUCCGCCACCACCACAUCAAGCGACACGGCGGACGACCACCACAACGUUGCCUCCAAUGGCGCGGCCGAGGACGCGCCCCUGUCGUCGCCCUCGGACUCGCGGUCCAGCGCAGACCUUGCCCAGGUGACGAACGACGAGAGCUCCAGCCAGGACGGACCGGCGGAAAACAAUGGAGCGGUGCCGACGGUGGGAGCUGGCGAGUCAGCCGAAGACGACAGUUCCUCGUCGGCCAUCAUUGCCGCGGACGACGCGGUCGUGCCAGAUGUGACAGCGGGGAAAGGAGCCAAGCGGGACCUCGAAGACGAGGAGUCUGCCGAGAGCGACAAGAAAAAGGCGCGGGCGUGAGACUUUGCCAUCGUGCCCCCCCGUCCCACCCACCCCUCCUCACCGCCUGACACCACCUUUUGAUGAAGAGAGAGAGAGGACUUGUUUAUUUCUCACCUCCCACGUUCCCUUGUCCCCAUAUCACUGACUUUUUUUCUUCAUUUUGUUCUACCUCUUCUAUUCUGACCUUUCUUCACCUUUGUAGUAUCUUUCCGUUAAACUUAUCUGUAAUGUGAUUGUGUUACGGUUCUUUUCUACUGGCUUCUUCUUCCGUUGUUUCCCAUCCAAUUUUCUCGUCACUACUUCAAUCUUUUCUUUUUCUCCCUCCCUCCUUCAUUUAGGAAAGAAGCUCACUUUUCAUUUAACCUUCUUUCCUUCGCCCUUCAUGUACUCUUGCUCCCCACCCUUCCCUUUUUUUUUUCUUUCCAUCACCGCUUUUAGAUCUUGUCAUCCUGACCUCGGCGUGUGAAAUGUUUGCCACAACAGGCAUCGGGAUGCCGCGGCCGCUGCGUCCGUUUUUUCUCGCCAGGAUGUCAACACCCUAGGGACCUUUAGUCCUCCGGCCAGGCGCUCUUCCUUGUUCAGAACUGUCGAGCACUGUGCAGGUGGCUUUUUUUUUUUUUUUUUCCUUGUUGUAUGUCACUACCAUCUCUAAGAGUUGGUCAAUAUAAAGAAAAUGAAAUUGGGAAACCAGCAACCACCCUUGGCUCUCUUAUUACUACCUCUGGUGACAACGGCUGCAAUCUUUUGGGAUACGUCUGCGGGAACAUGCGCACUUUCUUACAAUGCCCAGUAAAGAGAGAUGGAAACGCUAACAGCUUAUUUUUAAGAGCGCCAUUGCAGCGUGUGAACGCUGGGAUAUCUGUAGACAUUAGGGACAUGGGGAAGAAUCUUGGUACACGUUUAGUCUUCAUUCAGUUCUUGAACGUUCUGUUUUGGCUCGCGCGCUUUGUCAGAAGCCAUUUGUCAGACCGCUGCCGUCCGGCCAAUCACUUGAACGCAAACGAAAUGUGUACAAGAUUUGUCCCAUGUUUAGAAUGUCUUGCGAUGCUUGUAAGGAAAAUGUGGCGCUGCUGUUGCGGAGCUUCCUUUAUUUAAGGCAUCGUUGCAGUAGGAAAGUGAUGGGAUGUGGGAGGCUUAUUAGUAUAUACUUUUGGAGUGUUGUGUGGUUAGAAAAAGAAGUGCUUUGUCAGAAAUGAGCUUUCCUAAGCUGUAAUUCUGCGUACUACAUGUAUGCUUGCUCUCCUGUGAUACGAGUAAAUAAGGAAAAUAAAAAUUUUGGAAUUGGCA